rnacentral:rRNA from 1 species
AAGGCCCACCAAAUACUCACGAGAAAUAAAAUAAACCAACUGUUACCCCAACACAGGACUGUUGAAAAGAAAGAUUAAAAGUUAAAAAAGGAACUCGGCAAUGACACAGUCCCAACUGUUUACCAAAAACAUAGCCUUUAGCAAAAAAUAUNAAAGGUCCCGCCUGCCCAGUGAACCAUUAACGGCCGCGGUAUCCUAACCGUGCAAAGGUAGCGUAAUCACUUGUCCCCUAAAUAGGGACUGGUAUGAAUGGCUAAAUGAGGACUUAACUGUCUCUUUUGACUAAUCAAUGAAAUUGAUUUACCAGUACAAAAGCUGGUAUACACCCAUAAGACGAGAAGACCCUGUGGAGCUUAAAAUUACCCAUCAACAUACAUGAUGAAAUAUUUUCAGUUGGGGCGACUACGGAAACAAAUAGAACUUCCAAGCCAAGGACCUUGCCUCCACCACNU